UCGGAGGGAGUGGCGCACGGGUGAGUAACGCGUGGGAACCUGGCUCUUGGUACGGAACAACCGCGGGAAACUGCGGCUAAUACCGUAUACGCCCUUUUGGGGAAAGAUUUAUCGCCGAGAGAUGGGCCCGCGUCUGAUUAGCUAGUUGGUGAGGUAACGGCUCACCAAGGCAUCGAUCAGUAGCCGGUCUGAGAGGAUGAUCAGCCACACUGGGACUGAGACACGGCCCAGACUCCUACGGGAGGCAGCAGUGGGGAAUAUUGGACAAUGGGCGCAAGCCUGAUCCAGCCAUGCCGCGUGAGUGAAGAAGGCCCUAGGGUUGUAAAGCUCUUUCAACGGUGACGAUGAUGACGGUAGCCGUAGAAGAAGCCCCGGCUAACUCCGUGCCAGCAGCCGCGGUAAUACGGAGGGGGCAAGCGUGGUUCGGAAUUACUGGGCGUAAAG
rnacentral:rRNA from 1 species